rnacentral:rRNA from 1 species
GUGCCAGCAGCCGCGGUAAUACGAAGGAUGCAAGCGUUAUCCGGAUUUAUUGGGUUUAAAGGGAGCGUAGGCGGUCUUAUAAGUCAGUGGUGAAAUCUCGUUGCUUAACAACGAACGUGCCAUUGAUACUGUAGGACUUGAGUACAGAUGCCGUUGGCGGAAUGUGUCAUGUAGCGGUGAAAUGCAUAGAUAUGACACAGAACACCGAUUGCGAAGGCAGCUGACGAAACUGUAACUGACGCUGAGGCUCGAAAGCGUGGGGAUCAAACAGGAUUAGAUACCCUGGUAGUCC